AGUCGCUGGGUGUAGACCCGAAACCAGAUGAUCUAUCCAUGGCCAGGUUGAAGGCACGGUAACACGUGCUGGAGGACCGAACCCACUAGUGUUGAAAAACUAGGGGAUGAGCUGUGGAUAGGGGUGAAAGGCUAAACAAAUCUGGAAAUAGCUGGUUCUCUCCGAAAACUAUUUAGGUAGUGCCUCAAGUAUGACUGCGGGGGGUAGAGCACUGUUAUAGCUAGGGGGUCAUGGCGACUUACCAAACUAUGGCAAACUCCGAAUACCCGCAAGUCCAGCUUGGGAGACAGAGCACCGGGUGCUAACGUCCGGACUCAAGAGGGAAACAACCCAGACCGCCAGCUAAGGUCCCCAAUUAUCGCUAAGUGGGAAACGAAGUGGGAAGGCAUAGACAGUCAGGAGGUUGGCUUAGAAGCAGCCACCCUUUAAAGAAAGCGUAAUAGCUCACUGAUCGAGUCGUCCUGCGCGGAAGAUGUAACGGGGCUAAGCGAUAAACCGAAGCUGCGGGUGUG
rnacentral:rRNA from 1 species